AGUGAACGCUGGCGGUAGGCCUAACACAUGCAAGUCGAACGGCAGCACAGUAAGAGCUUGCUCUUACGGGUGGCGAGUGGCGGACGGGUGAGGAAUACAUCGGAAUCUACUUUUUCGUGGGGGGUAACGUAGGGAAACUUACGCUAAUACCGCAUACGACCUACGGGGGAAAGCAGGGGAUCUUCGGACCUUGCGCGAUUGAAUGAGCCGAUGUCGGAUUAGCUAGUUGGCGGGGUAAAGGCCCACCAAGGCGACGAUCCGUAGCUGGUCUGAGAGGAUGAUCAGCCACACGGGAACUGAGACACGGUCCAGACUCCUACGGGAGGACGCAGUGGGGAAUAUUGGACAAUGGGCGCAAGCCUGAUCCAGCCAUACCGCGUGGGUGAAGAAGGCCUUAGGGUUGUAAAGCCCUUUUGUUGGGAAAGAAAAGCAGCAGGUUAAUCCCCCGCUGUUCUGACGGUACCCAAAGAAUAAGCACCGGCUAACUUCGUG
rnacentral:rRNA from 1 species